UGCCCGACGUGGUGGGGGGUCGUGGAAUCGGAGCACAACUUGGCCCUGCGUUCCCAGGAAGGAACCCGAAGACCUCCCCAGGCCACCCUGCCAUCUGCGUGCGCGCUGGCAAGAGGAGGGGCGCGGGGUAAUGGUGGCCGGCGCCACAGCCCCGUGCCGCGCAGAAGCAACUCCCUCCCACCACCAUCACUGGAAUUCUAGGCCAGUGCCCUGAAGAGGAUGGAAGAGGUGAGUCAGAGACUGGGAGUCCCUGUUUUCUGGGAACUGAGAGGUGGGGGAGCUGAGUCUCAGGCAGAGACUGUACGUGGCAGGGAUGUGGAGCAAGGAGACCUGGAUUCUAGCAGCAAAGCUUCCUUCCUCAGGCUGGCUUCAGGGUCUUGCCCACCACCAGCGAUGCCCAGCCCUUGGUAGAGCUUGAACCACCUUCUAUAAACA
rnacentral:sRNA from 1 species